rnacentral:snRNA from 1 species
CUGCUUGGGCAGCACAUAUAGUAAAAGCAAAACGAUACAGAGGAGAUCAGCAUGGCCUCUGUCUGCACAAGGGCGGCACACAAAUUUGUGAAUUUUUUUU